UAGGUAAUCUUCCGCAAUGGACGCAAGUCUGACGGAGCAACGCCGCGUGAGUGAAGAAGGAUUUCGGUUCGUAAAACUCUGUUGUUAGAGAAGAACAGCGCAUAGAGUAACUGUUAUGCGUGUGACGGUAUCUAACCAGAAAGCCACGGCUAACUACGUGCCAGCAGCCGCGGUAAUACGUAGGUGGCAAGCGUUGUCCGGAUUUAUUGGGCGUAAAGCGAGCGCAGGCGGUCAAUUAAGUCUGAUGUGAAAGCCCCCGGCUCAACCGGGGAGGGUCAUUGGAAACUGGUUGACUUGAGUGCAGAAGAGGAGAGUGGAAUUCCAUGUGUAGCGGUGAAAUGCGUAGAUAUAUGGAGGAACACCAGUGGCGAAGGCGACUCUCUGGUCUGUAACUGACGCUGAGGCUCGAAAGCGUGGGUAGCAAACAGG
rnacentral:rRNA from 1 species